AUUGAACGCUGGCGGCAGGCCUAACACAUGCAAGUCGAACGCGUGGCGGACGGGUGAGUAAUGUCUGGGAAACUGCCUGAUGGAGGGGGAUAACUCCUGGAAACGGUAGCUAAUACCGCAUACCUUCCGAUGUGCCCAGAUGGGAUUAGCUAGUAGGUGGGGUAAAGGCUCACCAAGGCGACGAUCCCUAGCUGGUCUGAGAGGAGGACCAGCAACACUGGAACUGAGACACGGUCCAGACUCCUACGGUAGGCAGCAGUGGGGAAGAUUUCACAAGUGGCGCAAGCCUGAUGCAGCCAUGCCGCGUGUGUGAAGAAGGUCUUCGGAUUGUAAAGCACUUUUAGUUGGGAAGCGUUACCAACAGAAUAAGCAACGGCUAACUUCGUGCCAGCAGCCGCGGUAAUAC
rnacentral:rRNA from 1 species